ACAAUUACACCACCAAUCAACACCAAACACUGCAAGUAGGUAUGACAAAUCUAACAACAUCGAAAAAGAAAAAGCCAAGGACGAAAGCUUUAGUAUUGGUUAUGGCUUAAUCGAAGGUGUAGAGAUCGACGGUUGCAGAGGGCAGAGCCAUAAUCGAAGGUGCAGAGAUCGACGGUUGCAGAGGGCAGAGCCAUAAUCGAAGGUGCAGAGGGCGGGGAAGAGAUUGACGGUAGCAAGCAUGAUGGCGAACGACGGUAGCGAGUUCUGGCGCCGCCGAAGGGAGUGAGAAAAAAAUAACAAUAGCCUUGUUUUUGGAUCUUGGCAAGUUUUCUAUAUUGACUUUGUUUGAUCUAUAUGAUGUGUCAACAAAGUGUAAAGAGUCUAAAAACCCAUGAAUUUAGAUGAAUAUGGGUCCUUAUGUUCCUUAUAGUUACAGUUUUUGAUAUUGACUUUGUGUCACCUUUUUGGCCUUCGCUCCUACAUUCAUGAUUAUUUUUUAAAGAAUAUAAACUGAGGGAUUUCUUUGUUAAAACAUGUUAUAGCCACCAUUAGAAUUCUAUUUAUGUUUUCUGUUUGAUCUAUUAUUAGAUAUUUAGCUGUAUUACCAACCAUACACACUGUCGCUCCAGCCGAGAUUCAAAUCGGAGAAGCUUUUUCGCUUUGGCCAAACUCCGGUCUUGAAAACACCGACGAUGACAUCGGAUCUGUAAUCGGAUUUCGGCUAAAGACCGUGCUGGUUUCUGAGGAUGACAAAUUGCGGCGAGCGUGUGGUGUGGCGGCAUCUCGGUGAUCCUCGAAGGAAGGGAAAGUAGAGGGAGCAGGGUUGGACGAGUGAGAAGAGAGUGGUGAUGGCGAGAGUUGAGACUUGAUGGUAGAGAGAGUAACACUAUUGCUCUAGGCUUUCGCCUUUCCUUGGUUCGUGGUUCUCAUGGUCAAGUUUGAGGGGGACGGAUUAGCGGUGAACACUGAAAUUUCCAACGUGAAGCGGAGACGGCGAGCAAGGCAAAGGAUUAUUGCAAUGAAGAGGAUGAUUGCAAGGGCAUUUUGGGAAAAAUAAAAGGGUAAAAUGGGUAUUACAUUCCUAAUUUAUGUCAGAUUUUUGAAUUAAUUUUGCACAAUAUUAAAAGAUUAGAGGUGUUUAUUGCACAUUUUUUUAAAUAGGGGAUAAAAGUGCUACAAAAAGUAUACUUCAAGAGUGUUUUCUGCACUUACCCCUAUAUAUAUAUGAUUUGGAUUACUUAGAUUUGUUAAUUUUCUCUAAAUUAAUCAAGUAAACAUAGUCUUGACGAGCCGGGGCUCUACUGGCUAACACGCCUUAAAGAUCAUCAAGAGGUUGGCUUACUUUGAUAAGAUUGAAGAGUUGGAAGAGAGGGACAGCGAAGAAGAUAAUUCUAGAGCAAUGACUGAGGAUGAUGACUUCUCUUUCUUUGUGGCUGGUUGACUUUGUUUCAGACGGAAACAGCAUGGUGCUGAAACUUUUUUUUGAGUUCAUGAAGUUUAAAGGAUUUGAAACACAAGAUGUACGAAAUUUGAGGUAAGGACACAGUAAUUAGGGCCAAUUUCGACCACCAGGAGAAGUGGUUCAAUGUAAUUUACUUCUAGUCAUGUCUGACAUGCGUCUGGACCAUGUCCCAUGCUUGUUCGACAUCGUCACGAUCCUCUAAGAGAAGUGUUCAUACUUCUUAGUUGUUA